AUCCAGCUGACGACUCUCAAAUAGGAUUAUACGUACGUCCUGGAU
rnacentral:hammerhead_ribozyme from 1 species